AACGAACGCUGGCGGCAGGCCUAACACAUGCAAGUCGAACGGGACCUUCGGGUCUAGUGGCGGACGGGUGAGUAACGCGUGGGAACGUGCCCUUUGGUUCGGAAUAGCCCCGGGAAACUGGGAGUAAUACCGGAUAAGCCCUACGGGGGAAAGAUUUAUCGCCAAAGGAUCGGCCCGCGUUGGAUUAGGUAGUUGGUGAGGUAAUGGCUCACCAAGCCGACGAUCCAUCGCUGGUUUGAGAGGAUGAUCAGCCACACUGGGACUGAGACACGGCCCAGACUCCGACGGGAGGCAGCAGUGGGGAAUCUUAGACAAUGGGGGAAACCCUGAUCUAGCCAUGCAGCGUGAUCGAUGAAGGCCUUAGGGUUGUAAAGAUCUUUCAGUGGGGAAGAUAAUGACUGUACCCACAGAAGAAGCCCCGGCGAACUCCGUGCCAGCAGCCGCCGUAAGAC
rnacentral:rRNA from 1 species